rnacentral:rRNA from 1 species
CCUACGGGAGGCAGCAGUGGGGAAUAUUGGACAAUGGGCGAAAGCCUGAUCCAGCCAUGCCGCGUGUGUGAAGAAGGCCUUCGGGUUGUAAAGCACUUUCAGUGGGGAAGAAAGCCUUGGGGCUAAUACCCUCGAGGAAGGACAUCACCCACAGAAGAAGCACCGGCUAACUCCGGCCAGCAGCCGCGGUAAUACGGAGGGUGCGAGCGUUAAUCGGAAUUACUGGGCGUAAAGCGCGCGUAGGCGGUCUGAUAAGCCGGUUGUGAAAGCCCCGGGCUCAACCUGGGAACGGCAUCCGGAACUGUCAGGCUAGAGUGCAGGAGAGGAAGGUAGAAUUCCCGGUGUAGCGGUGAAAUGCGUAGAGAUCGGGAGGAAUACCAGUGGCGAAGGCGGCCUUCUGGACUGACACUGACGCUGAGGUGCGAAAGCGUGGGUAGCAAACAGGAUUAGAUACCCCGGUAGUC